rnacentral:lncRNA from 1 species
UAGCAUUUUAACUAAUGAAUGAAAGGUAUUUCAGGACCUGGGGACACAGGUCAGUACUUAAAAGCACUGGCUGCUCUUCCAGAGGACCUGGGCUCAAUUCCCAGCAGUCCCACGGCAGCUCACAACCAUCUAUAGUAACUCCAAUUCCAAGGAAUGUUUCCUCUUUCUGGCCUCAGUGGGCACCAGGCACACAUGGUGCACAGGCAGACGUGCAGACAGAAUACCCAUAUACAGAAUAAGAAAUUUUAAUGAGAAUAUUACCAUGCUAUAAACCAAAUGAACAACAGAGUCAAUAGUUAGUGGCUACCAGUGUCUUCUUCAUUCAUGAGAACUGCUCCAUAUCUCCUUGCCGGGCCAAAGGAACCAAACGUGGACUGACAAGGUCCCUGGGAUCCAACCUGGGCUGCCAACCUUCGGGACACUAAGGACAGAUGAGCAUAGACACAGUCCCUCACUCAAUCUGGCCUCCCAGAUUGGGUAAAGUGGCUGGCCAUCAUGUCCCUGUCUUUC